ACUUCCGCAGCAACCUAAAAAAGUAAUAAAAUGUAAGAAACAUAAUUUAAGAGACAGAAUUUAAGCAACAUAGUUUAAGUGACAAGAUUUAAGAUAUAAUAUUUAAGAAGCAUAAUUCGAGAAAUAAAUGUUGAAAAAGAACACAAUUUAAGAACCCGAAUUAGGAAUCCAAGAACAGUAAGCGAAUCCGCAAGUAAGACACUUGGGUGUCUCGGCAUGAACAUCUCGUUGCGCAGACGUAACGAUGAGAUUGAAAAAGCCGUUUCAGAGAGCAACUGAUUGCGCCCGAAGCCACAAUUGUCUCGCGGAAAGCCCUAAUCACUAUGGAAAAUAACGAUAAGCGCGACGGUGACGGCUGAUCGUCGUACAUAUGUAUGUAGUUUGUUCGCGACGCGACCUUGAAGUCGCCCACCGGACCGAGUUGAGCGCGCUCCGUUGAUCUUGGCCUGACAUUUCAAUGGCCUCUGCGGCUUCGGUUUUCGUGGAAAACCCGCUGCUCUUACGUUUUUUUUUUAAUGUUCCGCAGUCGUGGAAUUCCGGUAGCCCGUGUGCGGUAAGAUACACUGACGUCAGGAUGGAUCCAUUUACUGCGGAAACGUAAUGACCGGCCCUAAGAUUCGAGCGCGACCACUGGAUUGUUGAGAAGGCAAUUCCAAAAUAUACGAUCAGAUUACGGAUUUCGUGGAUCUGCGACGACAAAAAUAGAUAAGUGGGACACAAAACGGGAGAAACAUUGCUAUUAGAGAAACGUAGCUAUUUAUUUCUUUCAUUAAUGUCUAUAGCGAAUUGAAAAUGACAUAAUUUUGAAGUUGUUCAAAUAUUUGAGCGGUAGAACCUCGAUUGUACGGUCUAAGUAUAGAAUAUAAAUAAAUAGAAUAAUUAUUAAGUAACAGAUUUCAUGUUUACUGUGUGUGUGAUGUCUAGCGUGUUGCAAAAUCAAGAAAUAGAUUUGAAGUCUUGUAGUUAGUUUAUUCAAUAAAUGUGAAACUACAGAACAAA